GCCUCUGUGGAUCAACGUGAGAUCACCUCAGAUCAUUAAUGCGCCAUCCAAGAGGUUUACUGAGUAGAUGUGGGUUCGAAUCCCACCAGGGGCA